rnacentral:guide_RNA from 1 species
AACAAUAAAUUCAUCAUAGAGAUAUAGUAAGUGAUAUGAGACAUUAA